rnacentral:rRNA from 1 species
AUGAACGCUAGCUACAGGCUUAACACAUGCAAGUCGAGGGGAAACGACAUCGAAAGCUUGCUUUUGAUGGGCGUCGACCGGCGCACGGGUGAGUAACGCGUAUCCAACCUGCCCACCACUUGGGGAUAACCUUGCGAAAGUAAGACUAAUACCCAAUGAUAUCUCUAGAAGACAUCUGAAAGAGAUUAAAGAUUUAUCGGUGAUGGAUGGGGAUGCGUCUGAUUAGCUUGUUGGCGGGGUAACGGCCCACCAAGGCGACGAUCAGUAGGGGUUCUGAGAGGAAGGUCCCCCACAUUGGAACUGAGACACGGUCCAAACUCCUACGGGAGGCAGCAGUGAGGAAUAUUGGUCAAUGGGCGAGAGCCUGAACCAGCCAAGUAGCGUGCAGGAUGACGGCCCUAUGGGUUGUAAACUGCUUUUAUAAGGGAAUAAAGUGAGUCUCGUGAGACUUUUUGCAUGUACCUUAUGAAUAAGGACCGGCUAAUUCCGUGCCAGCAGCCGCGGUAAUACGGAAGGUCCGGGCGUUAUCCGGAUUUAUUGGGUUUAAAGGGAGCGUAGGCCGGAGAUUAAGCGUGUUGUGAAAUGUAGAUGCUCAACAUCUGAACUGCAGCGCGAACUGGUUUCCUUGAGUACGCACAAAGUGGGCGGAAUUCGUGGUGUAGCGGUGAAAUGCUUAGAUAUCACGAAGAACUCCGAUUGCGAAGGCAGCUCACUGGAGCGCAACUGACGCUGAAGCUCGAAAGUGCGGGUAUCGAACAGGAUUAGAUACCCUGGUAGUCCGCACGGUAAACGAUGGAUGCCCGCUGUUGGUCUGAAUAGGUCAGCGGCCAAGCGAAAGCAUUAAGCAUCCCACCUGGGGAGUACGCCGGCAACGGUGAA